rnacentral:rRNA from 1 species
UGCAGUCGAGCGGAAAGGCCCUUCGGGGUACUCGAGCGGCGAACGGGUGAGUAACACGUGAGUAACCUGCCCCUGACUCUGGGAUAAGCCUGGGAAACUGGGUCUAAUACCGGAUACGACCAUUUCUCGCAUGGGAUGGUGGUGGAAAGUUUUUUCGGUUGGGGAUGGGCUCGCGGCCUAUCAGCUUGUUGGUGGGGUGAUGGCCUACCAAGGCGACGACGGGUAGCCGGCCUGAGAGGGCGACCGGCCACACUGGGACUGAGACACGGCCCAGACUCCUACGGGAGGCAGCAGUGGGGAAUAUUGCGCAAUGGGCGAAAGCCUGACGCAGCGACGCCGCGUGGGGGAUGACGGCCUUCGGGUUGUAAACCUCUUUCAGCAGGGACGAAGUUGACGUGUACCUGUAGAAGAAGCGCCGGCUAACUACGUGCCAGCAGCCGCGGUAAUACGUAGGGCGCGAGCGUUGUCCGGAAUUAUUGGGCGUAAAGAGCUCGUAGGUGGCUUGUUGCGUCUGCCGUGAAAGCCCGUGGCUUAACUACGGGUCUGCGGUGGAUACGGGCAGGCUAGAGGCUGGUAGGGGCAAGCGGAAUUCCUGGUGUAGCGGUGAAAUGCGCAGAUAUCAGGAGGAACACCGGUGGCGAAGGCGGCUUGCUGGGCCAGUUCUGACGCUGAGGAGCGAAAGCGUGGGGAGCAAACAGA